GGUCUCCCCUUGCAACAACAUCCUGGUGCUGAUUGAGUAGUUGUGAUAUAACUCCAGCAUCAGUGAUUUUGUUGCCGGGGG
rnacentral:pre_miRNA from 10 species